rnacentral:rRNA from 1 species
AGAGUUUGAUCAUGGCUCAGGAUGAACGCUAGCGGCAGGCUUAACACAUGCAAGUCGAGGGGCAGCGUGGAGUAGCAAUACUCUGACGGCGACCGGCGAAAGGGUGAGUAACGCGUGAGCAACAUGCCCGGUAGUGGAGAAUAGUCGAUGGAAACGUCGCGUAAUACUCCGUAACAUAAGGGACCGCAUGAUCCUUUAUUAAUAGAUUUAUCGCUACCGGAUUGGCUCGCGUACCAUUAGCUAGUUGGCGGGGUAACGGCCCACCAAGGCGACGAUGGUUAGGGGUUCUGAGAGGAAGGUCCCCCACAUUGGAACUGAGACACGGUCCAGGCUCCUACGGGAGGCAGCAGUGAGGAAUAUUGGACAAUGGCCGAGAGGCUGAUCCAGCCAUGCCGCGUGCGGGAAGACGGCCCUAUGGGUUGUAAACCGCUUUUGUUGGGGAGCAAUAAGGAUCACGUGUGGUCCGACGAGAGUACCCAGCGAAUAAGCAUCGGCUAACUCCGUGCCAGCAGCCGCGGUAAUACGGAGGAUGCAAGCGUUAUCCGGAUUUAUUGGGUUUAAAGGGUGCGUAGGCGGAUGCCUAAGCGUGAGGUGAAAUCCCCGGGCUCAACCUGGGAACUGCCUCGCGAACUGGGUAUCUGGAAUGCCCCUGCCGUGGGAGGAAUGUGUGGUGUA